CAUCUUCGGGGCGUGGUGAAAUUCCCGACCGGCGGUAAUGAGCAUAGGUCUCUGAGCCCGCGAGCCUGAUAAAGGCAGGAUUUGGUGCGAUUCCAAAGCCGACAGUAUAGUCUGGAUGGGAGAAGAUG
rnacentral:ncRNA from 1 species